rnacentral:lncRNA from 1 species
UGAAUGGAUGAUAAACUUCAAGUUUACUUUUGCCUAGUUGAUAUUAAAUUGUUUAAACUAAAGAUUUAUGUUUAUUAAAUAAUCUUUUGGGAUGAAUUGGUUUCUUCAAACUUUUGCUUUGCAGUUGUCUGUCAUUUUUUACAAUUAUUAAUUAAUUCUAUUCAAAAUACUUCUGCAUGUUAAGUCUGUUUUUUGUUAUAUCUACUUUACGUGACUCUGCAUUUAUGUAUUCCGUCAUACUUUAAACGACAAAAUUAUUUUUUAUGUCUACCUGUGCGAAUUUCAAUCGCGCAACUUUACACUAGUGCUGAAAAACUUCCAUCCUUUAUGGGUGGAUUUUACAUAGAUAAAUACAAUUGUAUAAUAUAAGCAAAAUGAGGAUGUUAAAUUUAAUGUAUGCCUUUUUGUGCUUCAUCGUUACAUUUGUUGUUUUUAUAGUGAUUAAGAUGAUAACACAAUGUUGACUGCUGUGCCCCUUUUUUUGACAUUUUUACUUAUUGUGUCUGUUUGUUUUGUCCACGCAUAGUUAACAAUGUAAUGGAAUUCGAUGCGACUGUCAUACAAGUGAGAGGUUUAGCUAGCUAUAAAACCAGGUUCAAUCCACCAUUUUCUACAUAAGAAAAUGCCUGUACCAAGUUAGGAAUAUGACAGUUGUUAUCCAUUCGUUUGAUGUGUUUGAACAUUUGAUUUUGCCAUUUGAUUUGGGACUUUCCUUUUUGAAUUUUCCUCGGAGUUCAGUAUUUUUGUGUUUUUACUUUUUAGUGAAGUCUUUCUGAAUUGUGUUAUUCCAUUUGAACCCA